ensembl:lncRNA
GGACCAUGCUGUACAAAAUGGCAGCUCCUUCUCCUCAAUUCAAGUCAAAGGUUUAGCAGGAAGUUUCUUUUCAGCUUUUCAAAGCUCCGAGCAUGUUCCUGAACUAAAAUGUUUGAACGUGAGUCAAGACUUCCUCAUAACACUGAAAUAUCGACCUAUCACUCCAAAAAGAGGCAAACUGUCCCCUGAACACGGCCUCACUCAGUCUCCAGUCCCAAUAUUCAAAAUAUCAACAGUGCCCGUAGACUUCUUGGCAACUGGGCAGACUAUAAAGACCAGGGGAACAGAAACCAUGUCCCCAUCGUUCCCAACCUGUGCACCCAGGCACCCUGUGCUGCGUGAUAUUUUGAAAUUUUGAGAGAAACACAGCAACAUUUCAUCAGAUAUCACAAGAACUUCUAGCUUGAAGUAGCUCUGCUUCAAAUUUAGAUUAUGUUGCAUUUCUGUUCGUAAUAUAUUUUUUGCAAAGCUGAGUUUAGUGAUCAGUGUCAUAAAAUGCAAGUAAGCACAAAGUCAAUAUGGGAUAAAAAAUGAGGAUGGCAGUGUCUGAUUGGAUUCCAAAGAUUGAGAAUCUGCGCAGUGCCCAACAGGCACAUACAUCCCAUGAGCUGAAAAGUUCCACACUGAACACAUUCCUACAAAUGUGGCUAGAGAACAUGGUCUAGCUAAACUUCACCUUUAGGCUACCCGUGGAGGCAAGUGGGAUGUGGCUUGAAUAUCAAUAUUGGCUCGCACACAGAUUGCAUCCUCCGAACAGAGGCUCCGGAUGGCUCACCAGGCUGGCUGUGGGCUCUCCUGGCGAGGCUCGUUCUGUCUUUAAGAGGGCUCAUUCAUUUUGCAUGACAGCUCAACUUUUAAUGUAGAUCUCAUUUCAGUGUUAUCCCUACAUCAUCCUACCAUGUAAAAUAAAGUAUCUGCAUGUGCUUGAACUCGGAAUGUUUUAUAGCGUCAUGUCAGAAGUUUAUUCUUAGUUGAAUGCUUAUUCUCUCGGCAUGUGAGAUGCAUUUAUC